GGGGGUGAUCGGUUUCGACUGGGGAUGUCGAGGCAGAGGAAGCGAGCCGAGGAAGCGGCAAUGAUCUCGUUAACCACGGGCCGCAAAAAAUAAUCGCCAAUAACACGCGAUCCACCUUCGCCCUCGCCGCCUGAGCGAGUAUCCGAAGGAGUCAGACCGGGCGCGUCUCCGUCCCGGAGCCUGGCUUAAUCUAGGAGACUCCACCGCUCGACCCGGUCACGGGGUAGUGCGGAAAACCUAACAGUGGCUGGGCCCGUCGGGAGCUUGUCUGCGUGACUCCCGGGGCCGAGAAAAUCACAGCAGACUGCGCUCGGAGAAGCUCUGGUUCCGCACCACAGGACGCGGGUUCGAUUCCCGCCACCUCCACCG
rnacentral:tmRNA from 1 species